UUUGAAUUAAACAUAGAAACUAAUAUAUCUUGAAUUAUAUAUGCAUAUUACAUACAGAUGUGAAAUCAUAUCCUAAAAAAGAAAAUGUCACAUUUUCGAUGAACGCUAAAAAAGACAAUAUAUGCGCUAAAACAAACCUGGGCCAAAAGAAUUUCUAGCUUUGCAUAUUUACUAGUAUGAGAUUUCGUCUACAAAUUCCCACUGAGGCACCUGAGUAUCAGACGAUGAGAUUCCACAUCGCACAAGCUUCUUCAGCCAUUUCACCUUGUUCACAUAUUCCUCCAAGGCCAAGAUUGCUGCUUCAAUGGAAUCGGAACCUUUUGGAAGCACAACGCUUCGAUCACUGGCACUGUUCUUUUCCUGGCAGUUAUCGCGAUUCAGUUCCUUUUCAGCAAUUUCAGCUGCUGCAGGAUCAGCUCCGUCGUGCCCAGAAUCGGCCACUACCUUACUUGGUUUUCUUGUGCUGUGAUCAGCAGGUCUCGGGCGAGUGCUUCUUUUUCGUUUGUGCUUCUGUUUCUUAGAAACUGGCUUCCCCAGAGAGCAUGCCGGCAUCUCUGUUGCUGCAUCUGAACAGCUGCUCCGUUGUGCCCAGAAUCAGCCACUACCUUACUUGGUUUUCUUGCUGCUAUCAUUAGGUCCCGGGCGAGGGNGUUUCUGUUCUGCUCUUCUCUGCAUCUGAAACAGCUGCUGCAGGAUCUGCUCCGUUGUGCCCAGAAUCACCCUCUACCCUACUUGGUUUUUUUGUGCUGCUAUCAUUAGGUCCCGGGCGAGGGCUUCUUUUUUGUUUGUUCUUCCAUUUCUUAGAAACUGGCUUCCCCAGAGAACGUGCCGGCAUCUCUGUUUCUGCUCUGCUCUUCGCUGCAUCUGCAACAGCUGGGUUGGAGGAAACUGGAGAAGAGAACAACG
rnacentral:lncRNA from 1 species